GCGCGAGGAGCGAGCCGCUUCUCCCCAUCACAGCGAUUCCCAGGGUUGUCAUAGAAACCACUCCCUGGGGCUUGGCAAAGCAGGAGCCCUCCGUGGCAGGGCUUCGGUGUCGGGGCUCCGAGGCUCCGGCCUGACUUCUCCACGGGGUCCACAGGAGCGUCUCCGGAUGCCAGGACCUGAAAUGGGCCGACCAGGAUGAGGAAACCACAGGCAGAGGCCGGGGAAGCAGCGCGGCAUCCCAUCCUCAGGCCUGCCCGGACGGUGUUCGGGAUCAAGAGGACCACACUCCAGCCCAGGACAAAAGCCCCACGGUAGCACAUUGUCCGGCAGGAGAGGAGCAGACCCACGUCCAAGAAGAUGGUUGUACCUUUCCACGCCUCUUCUCUGCGAAAUGAAGCCACACCAUGACACAAUCUUGAAGAGGAAGCCGGGAAUGGGAGACGGCAACAAUCCCUGUCCCUGGAACGCUGGCCUCUAUGGACAAGCCACCCGCUUCGCACCCCUCCCCUUAUGCCCGUGGCGGUGGCACGGCGCCGUAUCCUGCCUGGGCUCUGGCCUCUGCUCUGUCCUCCCUCUUCCACUGUCUCCCCUGUUUCUCAGCGGCCUAGAUGCCUCUUGGUCUGGCUGAAUAUCUUCUAUGAAGAUCACUUCCCCGUCCAUCAGGGAGACAAUUCCUGGAGAUUCGUGUCAUGACUGUUUCUCUCUCCAAACCUGUUUCUGCUGGAUUGCGCAGGUCUGAUGACCCUGGAGCUCUUGGCUUCCAUACGUGUCUCAGACAGGAAACCAGAAUCAUGGCAUUCUGAAGAUUAGAGAUGCAAAUCUCCAUUAUUUGGCAUCCCCCUGGACCCGAUCUGUUUUUCAUUGCAAAUGUCCUACUGCUAAGACGAUGCAAGCACCCUCCCUCUAGGCCCAGAGACUGUUUCAGAAGAGAUGGGUGCAUGAGAUUGUAAGGGCUGGUUUUGAGGGAUACAGUUAGCUGAGACACUGCAAAUCAACGAGGGUACACAAGUGCCUAAACAGCUUGUAAAACAAAGAACUUUGCUUUCUCAGCUAUUACGUGGCACCUUUUUAUCCACCCCAACCAUGAAAAAUGUCCUGCUUCCUGGAAUUAAAAGAAAAUAAGAGGAUAAAGAUACCUCAUGGCCAAGCCUCCUGGGCAUAAUACUCCCAGUUAUAAGUUUUGCAGAUAUAUAUAUUUAGAUAUAUAAAAUUAUUUUUUAGAAAAAUGUAUAUGUUUUGUAUAGUUAAUCACUGUAAGCCUAUAAUUAAAACCAAGAUUAUAGUAGCUCAACGCAUAGAAAUGAAAGAAAACUCAAUUUUUGUAAACUCGCCAUUGGCUUUUUGUUUUUGGCUCUUUACUUUAAAUAAAUCUUUUAAGGGGUAAUGAAUGCCUGUCCGAGUCCAUUCCUAUCUUUCCUAGAACACUUACUUGUCUGUAAGUAUUUUGACUUCAAGUCCCUCCACCACAGGGAGUCUCACUGAAGGACAGGAUGGACACAGGGCAGGCAGAUAUGCCACCCAAGCAGUGCUAGGGGGAAAAAAAAUUAAUAGCCAUUGAUGCUGAUGCUGGCAAAUAUUGGCCAUAAAGGGAAGAAUGGAAACCAAAAAUAAAAUUCUAAGCCCUUCAACCAUCUGAAUGUACCCCUCCUCUCAGCCAUAGGGAUUCCAGAGUGAAACUGAAAAUCUUGUUCAGGCCAUGAUGGAAGAGAGCAUUGGACAUGCCUCAUUAUAUUUCUCCAGCAUUAACAUCAACGCAGACCUUAAGACAUCAACAUCAAACCUAAGAUUCUGAUCAGAAAUAUUUAACAUCUAUUUUCUCUGAAGCCUGCUACCUGGAGGCUUUAUCUUCCUGAUAAUAUCUAGGUUUCUCCAACACCUUAUCUUAACCCAGACAUUCCUUUCUACUGAUAAUAACUCUUUCAACCAAUUGCCAAUCAGAAAAUUUUAAAAUCUACCUAUAACCUGGAAGUCCCCACUUUGAGUUGUCCUGCCCUUCCAGAAUGAAACAAUAUAUACCUUACAUGUAUUGACUGAUGUCUCAUGUCUCCCUAAAAUGUGUAAAACUAGGCUGUGCCCUGACCAUCUUGUGCACAUGUUCUCAGGGUCUCCUGAGGGCUGUGUCAUGGCCCAUUGGUCACUUACAUUUGGCUCAGAAUAAAUCUCUUCAAAUAUUUUA